CUUUCCCUUCGGGGACAAAGUGACAGGUGGUGCAUGGUUGUCGUCAGCUCGUGUCGUGAGAUGUUGGGUUAAGUCCCGCAACGAGCGCAACCCUUAUUGUUAGUUGCCAUCAUUUAGUUGGGCACUCUAGCGAGACUGCCGGUGACAAACCGGAGGAAGGUGGGGAUGACGUCAAAUCAUCAUGCCCCUUAUGACCUGGGCUACACACGUGCUACAAUGGGAAGUACAACGAGUCGCUAGACCGCGAGGUCAUGCAAAUCUCUUAAAGCUU
rnacentral:rRNA from 1 species